UGGUGGCAAAUUAGGUGUCACUCUCGGUUUAUCUGCUCUAGAAGCUAUAGAAGCUGGGAAAUUGAAGCUUAGACUUGGAGAAAAACCUAAGUGUGUAUACCUCAAUUCGAAGAUAGUUUUCUGCAGGAAAGAGGCCAGGGAAGAUUGUGGCAAGCGAGAGCACCAUCAACCAAAUCAAAUUGAACACCGUCAUUCUCAAAUUGGUGUGAUGGUAGAAGAGUUGGUGCAGCUGAAGUGGCUACGCAGAUAUCUGAGAGUUUGGCAUUCAAGUA